rnacentral:rRNA from 1 species
UUUAUGGAGAGUUUGAUCCUGGCUCAGGAUGAACGCUGGCGGCGUGCCUAAUACAUGCAAGUCGAGCGAACGGACGAGAAGCUUGCUUCUCUGAUGUUAGCGGCGGACGGGUGAGUAACACGUGGAUAACCUACCUAUAAGACUGGGAUAACUUCGGGAAACCGGAGCUAAUACCGGAUAAUAUUUUGAACCGCAUGGUUCAAAAGUGAAAGACGGUCUUGCUGUCACUUAUAGAUGGAUCCGCGCUGCAUUAGCUAGUUGGUAAGGUAACGGCUUACCAAGGCAACGAUGCAUAGCCGACCUGAGAGGGUGAUCGGCCACACUGGAACUGAGACACGGUCCAGACUCCUACGGGAGGCAGCAGUAGGGAAUCUUCCGCAAUGGGCGAAAGCCUGACGGAGCAACGCCGCGUGAGUGAUGAAGGUCUUCGGAUCGUAAAACUCUGUUAUUAGGGAAGAACAUAUGUGUAAGUAACUGUGCACAUCUUGACGGUACCUAAUCAGAAAGCCACGGCUAACUACGUGCCAGCAGCCGCGGUAAUACGUAGGUGGCAAGCGUUAUCCGGAAUUAUUGGGCGUAAAGCGCGCGUAGGCGGUUUUUUAAGUCUGAUGUGAAAGCCCACGGCUCAACCGUGGAGGGUCAUUGGAAACUGGAAAACUUGAGUGCAGAAGAGGAAAGUGGAAUUCCAUGUGUAGCGGUGAAAUGUGCAGAGAUAUGGAGGAACACCAGUGGCGAAGGCGACUUUCUGGUCUGUAACUGACGCUGAUGUGCGAAAGCGUGGGGAUCAAACAGGAUUAGAUACCCUGGUAGUCCACGCCGUAAACGAUGAGUGCUAAGUGUUAGGGGGUUUCCGCCCCUUAGUGCUGCAGCUAACGCAUUAAGCACUCCGCCUGGGGAGUACGACCGCAAGGUUGAAACUCAAAGGAAUUGACGGGGACCCGCACAAGCGGUGGAGCAUGUGGUUUAAUUCGAAGCAACGCGAAGAACCUUACCAAAUCUUGACAUCCUUUGACAACUCUAGAGAUAGAGCCUUCCCCUUCGGGGGACAAAGUGACAGGUGGUGCAUGGUUGUCGUCAGCUCGUGUCGUGAGAUGUUGGGUUAAGUCCCGCAACGAGCGCAACCCUUAAGCUUAGUUGCCAUCAUUAAGUUGGGCACUCUAAGUUGACUGCCGGUGACAAACCGGAGGAAGGUGGGGAUGACGUCAAAUCAUCAUGCCCCUUAUGAUUUGGGCUACACACGUGCUACAAUGGACAAUACAAAGGGCAGCGAAACCGCGAGGUCAAGCAAAUCCCAUAAAGUUGUUCUCAGUUCGGAUUGUAGUCUGCAACUCGACUACAUGAAGCUGGAAUCGCUAGUAAUCGUAGAUCAGCAUGCUACGGUGAAUACGUUCCCGGGUCUUGUACACACCGCCCGUCACACCACGAGAGUUUGUAACACCCGAAGCCGGUGGAGUAACCUUUUAGGAGCUAGCCGUCGAAGGUGGGACAAAUGAUUGGGGUGAAGUCGUAACAAGGUAGCCGUAUCGGAAGGUGCGGCUGGAUCACCUCCUUU